GGACACUGCAGGCUGACUUGAGAGGAGCCCACCAAGGAGAGGGAGGGCAGAGGGAGGGGCCUGCGGCAGGCGGCCACAGAACCAACCGGUAGAGUCAGGCGAGGCUCUGAAGAGGAACUGCAGAAGGAGGAGACGGCAGAGGCUCCUCAGCUCGCUGGGAGGCACGAACCAAAGGUUCUUAAAAAUAGUGAUUUGGAGACAGCAGCAAAAAUGAGUGGAAGGCGUGGUCCUCAGGUGUCUGUCCCUGGGGAGAUCCCCCAGACGCCUCCAAGCUGCCAACAGAGUGGCAGUCUCUUGAUGGUAUGAGCUGGAAUGCUGUUGGGCACGAGCCAUGUUUCUGUUGUAUUUUGCCCACACUGCACAGGAUUUCCUAUAAAAGGAAAUAGUGUAUUUCUUAAGAAACUCUUUUCUAAACAUGUUCUCGUAACACACGGAGCRGUGGAAUCCUACCAUACACUGACAUGGACUUAAGAAAACAGAACCAAACAGAUACCAGGAGCAGAAUCCCCGAGAUCUAAGGGAGCGGGGACAAGGCCUGCGUUGUGGAUCUGACUGAGAAGCAGCAGGGGUGGACCACGCCGUUCACACAGACACGGUGAGCACCAGGGGUCACAGAAGGUGCCCCAAUCAUGGUGAGCACAGAGCCAAGAUGGAGGUCCCACAACCCCCCAAGCUGCAAGAUGAGCUCAGUUUUCAAGCUUAGAGCCAAGUGUUCUAAUUACACCUGGGUGAAGCACAAGCCACCGAGGAAACAUUGAAAGACUGGAUGGCUUCUGGGUGGUGACUGACUGGCAAUGGGUGCAUCCUCCGGCAGAGCCAGUGCCAGUGUGAUUGCCAGGCCCAGGAGCAGCCUGCCUGAGGGCAGGCACCAGCCCUUCCACGAGGUCCCCUCACUGGGCCCCUGCCUCCUUGCCAAGGGUCCCAACCAUCCUCCCCCCGGGUCGAGGGCCUGGUGAGCAGUCUUACAGGUCUGCUUCUGCUUCCAUGGUUUAAUUUGGAACCUCUAAAGCGUGGAAGAGGACUGGCAUAGCUGGUCUUACCUAUGCAUUAUAAGCAAAAAUAUAACAAGAGCAUGGCUCGUGCCCGCCAGCAGUACUCCCGCGUCCUGUUGUCAUUUAGGGCCUUGCUGGUGGCAGAUGCACAGUCAUGCUUCCUCUUGGGUUUCAGAGCCCCUGGAUUAAUGUGAGUGCCUUGGUACAGGUCUGUGGAAUUAAAAAUGCCCUUCCAGUCGGAGGAUUUCCUGGGAAUUAGGAGGUCAAGCACUGGGUCCCACUUCCAGCCGACUUGCUUCCCCACAGCUGGGGCUAGUUAGAUGUGUUUACACUUAGAGACUGACUGGCUCUGGGGUUCAAGUGGGAGUGGUCGGCCGAUGCACAAGGACUCUCUGAGGCCGGCUCCCACCUCCACCUCCCUGCAGUAUGAAGGAGACCACCAACAGCAGAGCCGCGCCUUCUCGGAAACCCCUCUGUGCAGAGAGCCCCGUCCCAAGCCCAGCCACCUGGGCUGGUCCCAGUGAACCGUGUGACCAGGUUCCCACAGUGGCACCAGGGGUGAGGAUUUGGGCACCCAGGGGCAGCUGGCCCAGGACUCCAACUGCAUAAAAGCACCCCAGGUUUUCUGCAGAAAUCUGCCUUGGAAUUUCCCAUCUGUUUCCUGCUGCACUUCUCCUGCCUCCCAGCCCCCUUCCCUUCUAACAGCGUCGAUGGUUUCCGGGCUGCAUUCCUACACAAGAUGCUUUCUUUCCUGCAUCUUGCUGGUCACAGAUUACCCUCUGUCCAAAG